GACGAACGCUGGCGGCGUGCUUAACACAUGCAAGUCGAACGGAAAGGCCCUGCUUUUGUGGGGUGCUCGAGUGGCGAACGGGUGAGUAACACGUGAGUAACCUGCCCUUGACUUUGGGAUAACUUCAGGAAACUGGGGCUACUACCGGAUAGGAGCUCCUGCUGCAUGGUGGGGGUUGGAAAGUUUCGGCGGUUGGGGAUGGACUCGCGGCUUAUCAGCUUGUUGGUGGGGUAGUGGCUUACCAAGGCUUUGACGGGUAGCCGGCCUGAGAGGGUGACCGGCGACAUUGGGACUGAGAUACGGCCCAGACUCCUACGGGAGGCAGCAGUGGGGAAUAUUGCACAAUGGGCGGAAGCCUGAUGCAGCAGCGCCGCGUGCGGGAUGACGGCCUUCGGGUUGUAAACCGCUGUCGCCUGUGACGAAGCGUGAGUGACGGUAAUGGGUAAAGAAGCACCGGCUAACUACGUG
rnacentral:rRNA from 1 species